rnacentral:rRNA from 1 species
UACGUAGGGUGCAAGCGUUAAUCGGAAUUACUGGGCGUAAAGCGUGCGCAGGCGGUUUUGUAAGUCUGUCGUGAAAGCCCCGGGCUCAACCUGGGACCUGCAUUUGUGACUGCAUCGCUAGAGUACGGUAGAGGGGGAUGGAAUUCCGCGUGUAGCAGUGAAAUGCGUAGAUAUGCGGAGGAACACCGAUGGCGAAGGCAAUCCCCUGGACCUGUACUGACGCUCAUGCACGAAAGC